UUUAACCGCGCGAAGGUAGCGCAAUCACUUGUCUUUUAAAUGGAGACCUGUAUGAAUGGCACGACGAGGACUUAACUGUCUCCUUUUUCCAGUCAAUGAAAUUGAUCUUCCCGUGCAGAAGCGGGAAUGACACCAUAAGACGAGAAGACCCUGUGGAGCUUUAGACACUAAAUCAGCCCUUGUCCAAAACCCCUAUCAAGGGGCCGAACGCUAGAGGAAGUCUGAUCCAAUGUCUUUGGUUGGGGCGACCUCGGGGAAAUAAAAAACCCCCGCGCGGAACAGGAGUACUACUCCCAAAACUGAGAGCCACCACUCAAAGUAUCAGAAAUUUUGACCAACUAGAUGAUCCGGCCUAACGCCGAUCAACGGACCAAGUUACCCCAGGGAUAACAGCGCAAUCCCCUUUUAGAGCCCAUAUCGACAAGGGGGUUUACGACCUCGAUGUUGGAUC
rnacentral:rRNA from 1 species